GAGGUUAUGCAGUCUAUUUGUCCUAAAUUAUGUGUUAAACUUUGUUAUUAGUGUAUGGGAAAAGUUGUAUGAAUCAGCUUAAAGUUGUUCUGCAAAUAUAGGGAACACUUGGCAGAAGACGAUGUCUUCGGUGGUGUAGAAAUUGACCUAUGUAACACAUACAUCUACAUGCUCAUUUGAGUUGUUGUUCUAUCAUAUUAUUGGUUGAUUGAAAUACUCUACCAAGUAGGGACAACACGACCUCCAAGAUUUCGUUUACAAAAGAGUGACAAUGAGUUUCGCUAAUUGUCAAUGAUUCUCCACUUUAAAUGUCAUCAUGCGUGAGUUAUCGUUGUGUCUGAUCGUGAGUCUUUUUCUCAAUUAUCUUUUGUUUGAUGUUGCUUUUUCAUGUUCUUUGGCUGUAUUCCAUUGUGUUUUCUUCCAUUCUUGUUGCUUGAUUCCAUUUGACAAUACAUGGACUUCCAUGUGAGCUUUGGUUCGGUGCAAAGUCUUGGUGAGUUCUUGAAUUAGAACAUUGAUCCAAUUCUAAUUAAAGUGUCAAUUCAUGACCAACUCAAGUUGUUCCUAAGAAUGUCAAAGAAUCAUGUAUUCUUGUUAUUGCAUUCACAUCAUGCCUCGUGGGGAUGGACCUUUCCAAGUCCUCAAGAGGAUUAAUGACAAUGCUUAUGAGUUAGAUAUGUCUGAUACAUUCUUAGGUAGUCAUACUUUUAAUGUCAGCAAUCUAACUCCUUUUUUCUGUAGGUCUCCAGAAUUCGUGGACGAAUUCUCUCCAACUCGGGGAGUAUGAUGGAGAUCAAGGCCAAGGACAAAUAGAAGCCAAUCAACAAGGACAAGAGGAGGAAGAGGAUCAAGAGGUAGAUGUGCAAGACGUUAUUCAUCCUUCUCAAAGGCUUACAAGAAGCAUGUUCAAGGCCUUAGGAAAUAAUGGACAAUUGUUUUCUUUAUUUGUAAUAUCUUUGGUAGAUGGUGCUUAAGAGGGAAACAUAAGAAACCUCUUGUGUAAAAGCAUCCUUAGUUGUAG
rnacentral:lncRNA from 1 species